GACGAACGCUGGCGGCGUGCUUAACACAUGCCAGUCGAACGCUGAAGCUUGGUGCUUGCACUGGGUGGAUGAGUGGCGAACGGGUGAGUAAUACGUGAGUAACCUGCCCUUGACUCUGGGAUAAGCCUGGGAAACUGGGUCUAAUACUGGAUACGACAUGUCACCGCAUGGUGGUGUGUGGAAAGGGUUUUACUGGUUUUGGAUGGGCUCACGGCCUAUCAGCUUGUUGGUGGGGUAAUGGCUCACCAAGGCGACGACGGGUAGCCGGCCUGAGAGGGUGACCGGCCACACUGGGACUGAGACACGGCCCAGACUCCUACGGGAGGCAGCAGUGGGGAAUAUUGCACAAUGGGCGAAAGCCUGAUGCAGCGACGCCGCGUGAGGGAUGACGGCCUUCGGGUUGUAAACCUCUUUCAGCACGGAAGAAGCGAAAGUGACGGUACGUGAAGAAGAAGCGCCGGCUAACUACGUG
rnacentral:rRNA from 1 species